rnacentral:rRNA from 1 species
AUUGAACGCUGGCGGCAGGCCUAACACAUGCAAGUCGAGCGAGCGGCGGACGGGUGAGUCAUGUAUGGGGAUCUGCCCGAUAGAGGGGGAUAACUACUGGAAACGGUGGCUAAUACCGCGUACCAUAGGAUGAGCCCAAGUGGGAUUAGGUAGUGGGUGAGGUAAAGGCUAACCAAGCCGACGAUCUCUAGCUGGUCUGAGAGGAUGACCAGCAACACGGGGACUGAGACACGGCCAAGACGCCUACGGGAGGCAGCAGUGGGGAAUAUGGCGCAAGGGGGGCAACCCUGACGCAGCCAUGCCGCGUGAAUGAAGAAGGCCUUCGGGUUGUAAAGUUUUUUCAGCGGGGAGGCGUUACCCGCAGAAGAAGCACCGGCUAACUCCGUGCCAGCCGCCGCGGUAAUUC